rnacentral:rRNA from 1 species
AGAGUUUGUACUCCUGGCUCAGGACGAACGCUGGCGGCGUGCUUAACACAUGCAAGUCGAACGGUGACGCCAGAGCUUGCUCUGGUUGAUCAGUGGCGAACGGGUGAGUAACACGUGAGUAACCUGCCCUUGACUCUGGGAUAACUCCGGGAAACCGGGGCUAAUACCGGAUACGAGACGCGACCGCAUGGUCGGCGUCUGGAAAGUUUUUUCGGUCAAGGAUGGACUCGCGGCCUAUCAGCUUGUUGGUGAGGUAACGGCUCACCAAGGCGUCGACGGGUAGCCGGCCUGAGAGGGCGACCGGCCACACUGGGACUGAGACACGGCCCAGACUCCUACGGGAGGCAGCAGUGGGGAAUAUUGCACAAUGGGCGAAAGCCUGAUGCAGCGACGCCGCGUGAGGGAUGAAGGCCUUCGGGUUGUAAACCUCUUUCAGUAGGGAAGAAGCGGUUGGGUUCUCCUAGUCGUGACGGUACCUGCAGAAGAAGCGCCGGCUAACUACGUG